rnacentral:rRNA from 1 species
AUCGCUCCUUGAAAAAUAUUAAUAAGGAGUACUGCCUGCCCAGUGACAAAAGUUAAACGGCCGCGGUAUUUUGACCGUGCAAAGGUAGCAUAAUCAUUUGUUCUUUAAUUGAGGACUAGAAUGAAAGGCAACACGAAAGCUUAUCUGUCUCCUUUUUAAAAAAAGAAAUUAGUAUUUUUGUGAAGAAACAAAAAUAAAAAUGUAAGACGAGAAGACCCUGUCGAGCUUAAGAAAAUUUUUAUAAAAAAUUAACUAUAAUAAAAUCAAAUUUAUUCUAUAAAACUAUUAAUAAAAAUAUCUUUGGUUGGGGCAACCACGAAGAAAAAAAAACCUUCGUCUAAAAUAAGAAAUUUACAAAUUUAAAAAUUUUUAAAAUAAUUAAAGAUCCAGAAAAUUCUGAUCAAAGAAAAAAGUUACCGCAGGGAUAACAGCGUUAUUCUCUUUAAGAGCUCUUAUUGACAAGAGAGUUUGCGACCUCGAUGUUGGACCGGGGCACCCAAGAGGUGUAGAAGCCCCUAAAGGUGGGUCUGUUCGACCUUUAAAGCCCUACGUGAU